GUUGGAAACGACUGCUAAUACCGCAUAAUGUCUACGGACCAAAGGGGGCUUCGGCUCUCGCCUUUAGAUUGGCCCAAGUGGGAUUAGCUAGUUGGUGAGGUAAUGGCUCACCAAGGCGACGAUCCCUAGCUGGUUUGAGAGGAUGAUCAGCCACACUGGGACUGAGACACGGCCCAGACUCCUACGGGAGGCAGCAGUGGGGAAUAUUGCACAAUGGGCGCAAGCCUGAUGCAGCCAUGCCGCGUGUGUGAAGAAGGCCUUCGGGUUGUAAAGCACUUUCAGUCAGGAGGAAAGGUUAACGGUUAAUACCCGUUAGCUGUGACGUUACUGACAGAAGAAGCACCGGCUAACUCCGUGCCAGCAGCCGCGGUAAUACGGAGGGUGCGAGCGUUAAUCGGAAUUACUGGGCGUAAAGCGUACGCAGGCGGUUUGUUAAGCGAGAUGUGAAAGCCCCGGGCUCAACCUGGGAACUGCAUUUCGAACUGGCAAACUAGAGUGUGAUAGAGGGUGGUAGAAUUUCAGGUGUAGCGGUGAAAUGCGUAGAGAUCUGAAGGAAUACCGAUGGCGAAGGCAGCCACCUGGGUCAACACUGACGCUCAUGUAC
rnacentral:rRNA from 1 species